UACGUAGGGCGCAAGCGUUUAUCCGGAAUUAUUGGGCGUAAAGAGCUCGUAGGCGGUUUGUCGCGUCUGCCGUGAAAGUCCGGGGCUCAACUCCGGAUCUGCGGUGGGUACGGGCAGACUAGAGUGAUGUAGGGGGAGACUGGAAUUCCUGGUGUAGCGGUGAAAUGCGCAGAUAUCGGGAGGAACACCAAUUGCGAAGGCAGCUUGCUGGGACGAUACUGACGCUGAGGCGCGAAAGCGUGGGGAGCAAACAGG
rnacentral:rRNA from 1 species